rnacentral:rRNA from 1 species
AACGAACGCUGGCGGCAGGCUUAACACAUGCAAGUCGAGCGAGGACUUCGGUCCUAUCGGCGGACGGGUGAGUAACGCGUGGGAACGUGCCCUUUGCUUCGGAAUAGCCCUGGGAAACUGGGAGUAAUACCGGAUGAGCCCUUAGGGGGAAAGAUUUAUCGGCGAGGGAUCGGGCCGCGUUGGAUUAGGUAGUUGGUGGGGUAAUGGCCUACCAAGCUGACGAGCCAAAGCUGGAUUGAGAGGACGAUCAGCCACACUGGGACUGAGACACGGCGCAGACUCCGGCGAAUGGGCGCAAUGGGGAAUCAGCGACGAUGGGGGAAAGACGAAGGUCGCCGGGCUGCGAAAGCGAUGUGGGCGGUAGGAAUAGAAAGCUCUUUCAACUGGGAGGAUAUGAAGGGAACGGGAAAAUAAGGACCGGGCAAAUACGGG